CACGUAGGGGACGAGCGUUGUCCGGAAUUAUUGGGCGUAAAGGGCUCGUAGGCGGUUUGUCGCGUCGGGAGUGAAAACCCAGGGCUUAACCCUGGGCUGGCUUCCGAUACGGGCAGACUAGAGGUAUGCAGGGGAGAACGGAAUUCCUGGUGUAGCGGUGAAAUGCGCAGAUAUCAGGAGGAACACCGGUGGCGAAGGCGGUUCUCUGGGCAUUACCUGACGCUGAGGAGCGAAAGUGUGGGGAGCGAACAGG
rnacentral:rRNA from 1 species